CUGCUCACGCUGUGGUGAGCUCUCUCUCUGUCUGGGCCAUGCUUUACCUCUCUCUUUCACCCCUCUCUUUUCUCUAGCAAGCUCUUCAGCAUUCCUUCCCCCUCCCGGUUCCUCUCAAUUUCCUUUAUUUUGGACCUUUCUUACUAUGGUGCAGGAUUAUUUAAUUGCCUGGGAAGCCGAGACGUUGGACUGACAAAGAUGGAGGGAAUGAGGACCUGGCAGACCCCCGCUCACCCAGUCUAGAGAACCACCCCUACCUGAGCCACACUGGUCAAGGUGGCAGUAUAGACAGUGACUGUGCCUUUGAGGGUGACUACUCUCUGCCCCCUCUGUCUAUGACCGACAGCAUGCAGCACAUCCGCAUCAUGGAGGGCGUGUCACGCUCCCUGCCCUCCUCCCCGCUGC